rnacentral:rRNA from 1 species
UGGGGAAUAUUGGACAAUGGGCGGAAGCCUGAUCCAGCCAUGCCGCGUGUGUGAAGAAGGCCUUUUGGUUGUAAAGCACUUUAAGCGAGGAGGAGGCUACUUGGAUUAAUACUCUAGGAUAGUGGACGUUACUCGCAGAAUAAGCACCGGCUAACUCUGUGCCAGCAGCCGCGGUAAUACAGAGGGUGCGAGCGUUAAUCGGAUUUACUGGGCGUAAAGCGUGCGUAGGCGGCUUCUUAAGUCGGAUGUGAAAUCCCUGAGCUUAACUUAGGAAUUGCAUUCGAUACUGGGAAGCUAGAGUAUGGGAGAGGAUGGUAGACUUCCAGGUGUAGCGGUGAAAUGCGUAGAGAUCUGGAGGAAUACCGAUGGCGAAGGCAGCCAUCUGGCCUAAUACUGACGCUGAGGUACGAAAGCAUGGGGAGCAAACAGG